UCGCGCUGAGGGAUUGGCCGUUGGCUCGCUUUGCCUCCACCCAGCUGGGCCACGUGUCACGACUGGAUUGGGCCGGUUCGGGUCCAAAAUAUCUCUCCUCAGCCAACCCAAUCUAGCGACAACCCUAUCCUCUCCCUGUUCGUCUCCUCCCCGAACCCCCCACAUCGCUCAGCCGCCACCGCCGCUCGCGCUGCCUCCUCACCAUCCCCUGCAGCAGCGCCGUCUGGCUCCACCCAGACGGAGCAGCGCCGUCUCGCUAUCGCCGGGAGUUACUCCGCCCCACGCUGGACCGGAUCCACGGUGAGGGGAUCGCCGCCUGCAGCGACCGGCGAUUCGAGGUGAACGACCUCGCCCAUCUGCUGCUCUUGUCUCGAUGGACGGCAGCACCUGUCGCCGGCCGCAAACCUCGUCGUCCCCUGCAGCGACCGGCGAUUCGAGGUGAAGGACCUCACCACUCCGCUGCUCUUCCCCUAUGACGCAACCUCGAUGAAAGGCACAAUCGCCGGGAGUCUGGCGAUUGGAGGUGAAGGACCUCGCCCCUGGAUGGCCCUGCAGCCCUGCAGUGACUGGCGAUUGGAGGUGAAGGUCCUCGCCCCUGGACGGCAGCACCGCUACGGAGUUUGCCGGCGCUUUGUUCUACAGCCCCUACCCGAGCUGUUGAUCCUGGCGUCUCCGAGAGCUACUGCCAGUCCCCGAGCACCUGGCGCCGACCACCUCCACGACUAGCUACUGUAGAUUAGGUGAUCUCGAAGUCACUUGGUCUCCAUGAUACAACAUUGGCUGAUUUUGGUUGGCUCGCACCAUGGAGCGGUAGUGCGUGCUCAUUGACCGACGUUCGCAACGCUGGCUGACUACAUAUUCAAGGAAGGUAAUACGUGUGCAAUCAGCGUGUGUGUUGUGAUGAAUGGACAUGUCAUCUUGAUUUUGUUAGCUUCAGUUUCAUUAAUUUCGGAGUAGAAAUCUUGAUGUGUGUGUGUGUGUGUAUGCACGAGUUUGUGGCGGCUGUUCGGUGGUGGAGGAGGAAGGUUCGUUUUCAUCUUCUUCGUGGAGAUCGACUUCAUUCAUGACUGGCUAAACAAUGGGUUCAAGAAUAGUAGGACAAGGGUGGAAUUCUUAGCAAUCACGUCCGCUCGCAGAGCAGUAGAGUCGAUUUGGGAUUUUUCUUUGUUGCAGCUAACACAUUGGGUCUAAGUGAAAUUUGUUGUUGUGGUGAGAACUUGGUUUCUUCUUCGUGGUUGGAACCUGAGACAACACACUGGAGGAUUCAUCACCGAGCUUAGUCACUGCAACCUGAACAAGAGGACUCAAACAAUAAGGAGGUAGAGUAAUGAGAGAACAAGCAACCACCAUGUCAUAUAUAGUAGUUGAUCUGGAGCUAUAUCCUACCCACGAAGGAUCUAUUUUUUGUAUUUUGCUUUGAUAUUUUCUUCUUGGCACUUCAAAGUUGGUAUCAGGAAUAUGAUGAUCCAUCACAGAGAAACUUUACAAAGUGUGUGACCAUCUACCUUAAUUCAUUUUGUAUGGUAGCAGAUCGAUCCUACAUGAACAAAUGAACAAUCCAUCUUAGCCGAGAUUUUUUAUACAAGGAGCAUUCUUGUAAGGUUGGCUUCGUGGUGGCGUGGUUAGGACAGUGGCACCACAAAUUCUCGCCUCGAGCUACCUACUCUUCUCCCAUGUCCUUGGGUUCUCCCUCCCAGCGUCGUUUGUUCCACCAUCUCUAACUUGUCGGAGAGGCCGAUGGAUAAUGAAUUGCUGGUUCGAUAUUUUGUUGGUCUACAAGUUGUUGCUAUGCUAGGAGGCAUUUUUUUGCAGAUUGUUUUGCACUGCCAUCAUUUAUAUAGUUUAAAUGGUGACAUUAUUACACAUAUUUUUUUAAAUGAAUUUGGAGAUUAUCAGGUCUGGGGCAUAUAUGCUACUAAAAUAGUGUUUUUUCUACCUUGGAUAUAUGUAUCUGUUCCUGAUCUCUAAUAUGUCUUGUCAAAAUUGUGUAUUUCAUUCUUGAACAAAACUAGGAGAGAGCAUAUGAAUUAAAAUUUGCUCAUAUAUAUCUUGCGAGCAAGUGUCUCUUAUGAUCCAUGUGGUGAAGAUUCUUCGUUGUACAUUGUUUGUAUCUUCAUGAAUAAUCUUACGAGCCACCUUAUGAUAUUUUCUUAUUUCGUUUUGAACAUCUGAACUUGGGUUUUCCAAGGUAAAGUAGAAGAAUGUGUACACGCUUAAUGCCUUAAGUCCAGCUUGAGAGGACAUAAAGAAUAAUUUUUAUUUCUGUAUGGCCAUGAUUAUGAUGUCAAACAAAUGCAUAUGCUUGCCUUUCAGAGUUUCUACCAUUUGCAUGUGUUGCAUUUUUUAAUUAAAUAUUUGCUAAUAGUAUGAAGGAUGAAAAAGGUAUGGACAUCCAGCUUCAUUUUAAUCAACGCUCCUUCCUAAGAAUGCCCCAUUUCAGAAUAAACUGAAGGAUGAAAAAGAUUUUUUCGGAGGAGCCUGUCGGUGUUGUUACUGGUUCUAACAUGACUAAGCGCCGACAUGCCAGGUGCUAUAUUCUUUCCCCUUUCUUGGCAUAGUUCUAUGUAUAUAUUUCGGAUUGAGAGUAAGCUUCGCUUCUGAUGUUUCAGGGGGUGUUACCCAGGUAGUUGCCUUUCUUUGCCUUAUACCUCCAUGUGUCUAUCCUUCCCCGACAUUGUUGUUAGUCUAUAACUUGAAGCUUAAUUAAUAUCUUCAUCAUAUCAAAUCAGGCUAUGCGUUUGCCUAUGAUCGGAGUAUGAAAAAAUAAAAUAAUUAAAGUGUAUAUUUGCUAAAAUGCUCUUCUUACGUUAUUAUUUCCAUGUUAAAGGUAAGCUUCCUUGGACCUUUACGGUGCCCCGAUCGUUUUAUGGAUUUUUUUUUCCUAACCUAUUAAGUGUCCUAAUUUAUAUAAGAAAGCAAUGUGCUCAUCUUUUUUAGAAAAUAAUCUACUUGGUUUGCACUAGAUUUGUCGCUUUGGUUGUCCAAGUAGUAUAUUGAGCCUUAAAUAACACCUCUCCUUGCCUCACACCAUCUUUCUCUUGGGGAGCGUUUGUACCUUCUGUUUUUAGCUUGGUUCCUAUUGGCUGUUUCCUAGCUUCAGACAAUGAUAUAUUAGAUCUACACGGCUACUGAAGUGAAGACUCAUGGGUGAAAAAGGAUGGGCGUGUUUUUAUGUUGAUAGAAAAUCAAACCAUUUUACAUUUAAAUCUACACUGCUACUAAAAUGAAGACUCCCGAGUGAAAAAGGAUGGCCGUUGAGGCUGAGUUGUUUUCUGGAUUCUGUGUUGAGAUUUUUACACAUUUAUUGGUACUUUAGGAUAGUUUGGAUAAUAAUUUGUUUUUUGUCUUCAUAGUACUGUUUUCAACUUUAAAACUGGAUUGGUAUUACUAAUCUAUUUUUACCCACAUGAACAUCAGCCUGAAGGAUUAUAACUACAAUAGAUGAAUAGGCUGAAGAAGAAAUGUACUAAAUGUCUCCUGCAACAGUUAAGCGAGAUAUGCGUACAUUAAACGGUUUAGCAAUUGAUGGGAUUCUUUCAUAGAUGAUAUAUAUUUAGAUUUUAACAAAGUUUGAUCUAUUUGAAAUUAGUUAAUAUUUUUAGAACAAUUGUAUUUAGGAAACAUAACAGGGGCAGCUCCAUGCAUACCUUAGACAGCUUCCUGCAUAAAUUCUAUAGCUUGCAAUAACAUGGUCCAACCAUUUUCCAACUAUUGAAUUCUUUCUGAUUGUCUCUCUUUCAUGUUCCUAACAGUUGCCAUAUCCUUUUGCAUUGCACUGAUACCUUGAUCCAUAAAUAAAAACAUUUAGUAGCUACAUUUAGUCCUAACAGCUAAUCUACUUCCACUAAGUUUUUUAAUAACUUCCUUUAAAAUAAUCUUGCGAGAUAUGAAAAUAAUCCCCAAGUCGUCUGCAUUUUCAAUCAAGGUAUUUAAUUAUGUUAAUUGUGUAAUAUUAGAUAUGUAAACUCGAUUAUGGCAAAAUAUAUUACCUCCAGCCCCUCGAUGUUGAUCCUUUUUGUAUGAACAGAACAGACCUGCACAAACCAAUUGCAUAGGUUUUUGUAAAUCAGCAACGGAAAGUUGUACCCAUGGAAAUUCUACGGUUCAACACUAGAAUGAAGGGCUGAAUUCAGAGACUUGAAUUCUGUUAAUAAAUCUAUUCCACAGUAAAGUUUGUCUCAAGAGAACACAAAUUGCAGGCCAUAAUAAACCAGAAGGUAGCCAUGUAAUUGUUUGUUUUUCCACUCCCUAAUAAACAUCUAGCACAAGUCUAAUCGUAUACUACUAUAGAGGCACAAGAUUCGGAGGUGUGUCUUUGGAGUAAUUGACUUCAGUAUCGCAGGUGUCUUUGGAGUAAUUAGCCUCAGUCAUCUUGCCUGCUAUGUUGUUACCUGCAUCUAUCUUUGGUUCUAAAAUUGAUCUGAUAAGAGCAUGCAUGCCAUUACUACAGCCAGGCACGGGCCUUUGUCAUUUUUUUCUUUCCUAGCAUGCACACAAAGAUUCAUAUUUGGUACUGCUUUUGCUUUUUUGAAAACAUUUCUUAUUUACAUGAUAUGUAUUGUCAGUGAGUUGACAUUGGUGCUUUGUUACGUAUGUCUAGAGAAGAUAUAUUUACAUCAAUUUAUUUUUGUGUUUUGAUGUGUGCUAAACCACUCUACUGUAGCUGCUAUAGCCAGAUCCAACAAUCAUAAUGGUUUCCUUUUUUAAUACAUUUCCUUCUUUUUGCAGUUUUGGAAUAUACAAUAAGGUCAAAUUUGCCAGAAAUACCUGCUCCACAAUUAGUCGAUUCUCGGCCAUCAAAUUGCAGAAAUACUAUUUGGUGCAUUGGAAAAUAUGGUUUGGGUUUCUCUCAUAUUCUUCUCGCAGGUCUACGAUCCCACGGCUGGAACAAAUAGCUUACAUUUACUCUGUUCUUCCUCAAAUCAUUGUAUGGAAUAUUAAGAUCCUAUUCAGUCUAAAGCAGUUCGUCAAAUACUAUAGCUGCAAAUGGGGUUUUGUAUAGGAGCAAUAUUUUCAUUGGAAUUUUUCAUGGUACCCUUACAACGCAUCUAUUCAGGGAGAUUUGAUCCUCUUCAGUCUAAAGCAGUUCGUCAAAUACUAUAGGCGCAAAUGGGGUUUUGUAUAGGAGCAAUAUUUUCAUUGGAAUUUUUCAUGUUACCCUUACAACGCAUCUAUUCAGGGAGAUUUCUUUGCUGCCACUGUAGAACUAUUGCUAGCUGAUGAAGGAUUUUCUUUCCAUCCAUUGUUAGGUGAGUUGUACUAGAUGCUGAUUAAAAUUUCAAGCAUGUGUAGCGUGUGUAGUACUGUAUUCGAUGAUAGCGCAGACACAAUAUGCUAUGGGGGCCGUGGUUACCGCGGUGUUUUCCGAGUAAUUGCACUUGAUGAGUCUUGGGUACCGACCACGGAGACAAGAAAUAUUGUGUACUGAGAGGUGCUUGGUCAUCUCUAGAUGCUUUGGUUAAUACAUAGAUUUCUCCCUUCCAUAUUAUUCUAUUUUCACUUUCUAUGUUCUAUCAGUUAAUAUUCACUUGCAUUGUUUUGUUUUUCAGUGUCCAUUAUCCAUCAGCAUUUGAGAUGAUUGGUCGCUUCUAGAUGUGUUAGUUCACAUAUACAUGGUGUGUUUCCAUUGAAGCCAUACCAGCUCUGGUGCACAUCAAAAUGCUCCCGUUGUAUCUUAUGGAUUUGACCCAAACCUCUCUCUGGAUGUUAAAUAUAAAUGUCCACUACUUGACGUGGUUGUGCCAGCUGAUGCAAUUCUAGAUGAAGCAGGGCUAUACCCAGGGAAUUAACUUAGAUAUCUGCAAAUUUCAGCUACAAAUAUUCAUCGCUUAAGCAACCUACAGUAGUUGGUGCAUUAGAGACGAUUGCAUAAUUUGCAUCACUGCUAUAUUUGUGAUGCUUUCUGUUACCAGCUGGUUUUAUGUUAUGGCACAACCAAUAGUUUCUUUUCUAUGAUUUGUGUUGCUUUGUGUAGCACCGAAUACUAUCCCAUAUCUUAUCUGUCUUUGAACCAUUUGUGAUCCCUAUAACCAGUUCACUUAGUAA